AACUGACAACAUAUCUUUGUGGUGGAAUGUAAUUGGUUAUUUAAAGUACUUCUCCAACGACAUUCCAAAAAAUUCAAAAUUAAAUAUCAUAAUACUCGAUUCCUAAGGGUAGUUAAACCCAUUGGACCAUAUCAGUCCAUUAUUUUUGUUGUUCUUAUUCAUGGAUGGCACCAUCAUCUCCGUCUGUUCCUCGUGUGCUUUAUGAGCUUGCUGUUGUGCUUGCGGGUUCAUCCCAUCAAUGAACCACAUCUGCAGCUGUUGCAACUUCUAUACCGGAUGAUCCUCCUUGAUCUUAGUGAAUGUCUCCCUAAGACACUUCAUCAUUCUUGCAUCUGUGGCCUCCUGAGGUUGAGGUGACUUCCAGAGUGUUUCAAUACUCUUAUAGAUUUCUUUAAGGUGUUGUUCGAUGAGCCAAUCUAGAUUGUUGAGAUUAAUAAGGUUGAGUUUGUGGAGGGGCUUCCCGAUAAGACUUUGGAACAUUAUAUGCGUGAUCUCUUAUCAUUCCAUUCCUAAGA
rnacentral:lncRNA from 1 species